rnacentral:rRNA from 1 species
UGAAUACGAGACGCUAAGGCGUUGGAGUAGUGUAUGUCAUACUUCCAAGAAAAGCUUGCACUGUCAUAGAUAAAAAACGCCUGUACCAUAACCGACACAGGUGGGUAGGUAGAGUAUACUAAGGGGCGCGAGAUAACUCUCUCUAAGGAACUCGGCAAAAUAACUCCGUAACUUCGGGAGAAGGAGUGCCUUAUUUAUAAGGCUGCAAUAACAAGAUCCAAGCAACUGUUUAUCAAAAACACAGGUCUCCGCUAAGUCGUAAGACGAUGUAUGGGGGCUGACGCCUGCCCAGUGCCAGAAGGUUAAAGAAGUUGGUUAGCAAUAGCGAAGCUGAUAACUGAAGCCCUGGUGAACGGCGGCCGUAACAAUAACGGUCCUAAGGUAGCGAAAUUCCUUGUCGGGUAAGUUCCGACCCGCACGAAAGGCGUAAUGAUUUGGAUACUGUCUCGGAGAGGGGCUCGGUGAAAUAGACUUGUCUGUGAAGAUGCGGACUACCUGCACCAGGACAGAAAGACCCUAUGAAGCUUUACUGUAACUUGAAAUUGAAAUUGGACUUUAUUCGCGCAGUAUAGGUGGGAGGCGUUGAUUGUAAUCUUGCGGGAUUAUUGGAGCCAUCAGUGAGAUACCACCCUUGUAAUGUUAGAUUUCUAACUUUGAAUCAUUAUCUGGUCAAAGAACAGUUUCAGGCGGGCAGUUUGACUGGGGCGGUCGCCUCCUAAACGGUAACGGAGGCGUACAAAGGUUUCCUCUGAACGGUUAGAAAUCGUAUCUAGAGUGUAAAGGCAUAAGGAAGCUUGACUGUGAGACCUACAAGUCGAGCAGGGACGAAAGUCGGUCUUAGUGAUCUGACGGUACUGAGUGGAAAGGCCGUCACUCAACGGAUAAAAGUUACUCUAGGAUAACAGGCUGAUCUCCCCCAAGAGUUCACAUCGACGGGGAGGUUUGGCACCUCGAUGUCGGCUCAUCGCAUCCUGGGGCGGUAGUACGUCCCAAGGGUUGGGCUGUUCGCCCAUGAAAGCGGUACGCGAGCUGGGUUCAGAACGUCGUGAGACAGUUCGGUCCAUAUCCGGUGUAGGCGUUAGAAUAUUGAGAGGAGCCUUCUUUAGUACGAGAGGACCGAGAAGGACAUACCUCUGGUGUACCAGUUAUCGUGCCAACGGUAAACGCUGGGUAGCUAUGUAUGGAGUGGAUAACCGCUGAAAGCAUCUAAGUGGGAAGCCCACCUCAAGAUAAGUAUUCUCC